GACGAACGCUGGCGGCGUGCCUAAUACAUGCAAGUAGAACGCACAGUUUAUACCGUAGCUUGCUACACCAUAGACUGUGAGUUGCGAACGGGUGAGUAACGCGUAGGUAACCUGCCUGGUAGCGGGGGAUAACUAUUGGAAACGAUAGCUAAUACCGCAUAAUAUUAAUUAUUGCAUGAUAAUUAAUUGAAAGGUGCAAUUGCACCACUACCAGAUGGACCUGCGUUGUAUUAGCUAGUAGGUGAGGUAACGGCUCACCUAGGCGACGAUACAUAGCCGACCUGAGAGGGUGAUCGGCCACACUGGGACUGAGACACGGCCCAGACGCCUACGGGAGGCAGCAGUAGGGAAUCUUCGGCAAUGGACGAAAGUCUGACCGAGCAACGCCGCGUGAGUGAAGAAGGUUUUCGGAUCGUAAAGCUCUGUUGUAAGAGAAGAACGGGUGUGAGAGUGGAAAGCUCACACUGUGACGGUAUCUUACCAGAAAGGGACGGCUAACUACGUG
rnacentral:rRNA from 1 species